GCAAAGGUUUUGGAUACCAUACUCCCCUGCUCUAAGAUACACUUUUCAUUUUCACAUCUGAAGAUCCCCGUCACCAGGAUUCAUCUCACAACUGAUGGCGCCCUCCCUCAGCUGUCAGCGCGAACUUUCACGGAAGCUAUUAGCAAGAACCAGCAUGAUGGGGGAGAAGCACCGCUGUAUUCGUCACUACAAAACUCCAGAACAAAUUCACUGAAAGCUUUUAUUAGGGGAUUUGACUUUCUCCCAAGGAAGAUCGUUGCCUUCUGUUGCCUUCUGCUCUGUCCCUAGAGCCCAGAUCUCACAGUUUCUAGUCCAGAGUCCAGACAGAGUUGGCAGAGAAAAGUGACUCGAGUUCCUUGAAAACAAACCACACAUCCCUUCAUCUCUGCACCCCCUCCAGAGCCUUGCAGUCUUCACUGUCAUCACAUUCAAGCACAUGC
rnacentral:lncRNA from 1 species